GAAAGAGAGACAGAGGGAUGUGGUGGCGGAAGAAGUGUCAGAAAGCUGGUUUCGAAGAGGAAGGAAGGGAGACGUGAGCCAAGGAACGUAGUGUCUAGAAGCUGGGGAAGGCGCGGACUUGGUUUUCAGACCAGAGCCUCCAGCAAGGAAUGAAGCUCUGAGGACAACUUGAACCCGCCCAGUGAGAGCCAAGUAGGACUUCCGGUCUAUAGCAAGAGAUGGGAGACCCUCCGCGUGUGAUGCUACGAGGCACCAAGCCCGCGGCGACCUGUGUCAACGGUAAUAAGACGCGUCACCAAGUCCUGACUCCACACCUCCAUUCAUUCUCUCCCUCUUUCUUCCCUUCCAAAAGAUUUCCCUGAAACCACUUUUGGACUCACUCGGGACCCCACUUGGAGAUAAGAUCCGCUCCAGUAGGAAGGCGUACCGGAAGCGGUGAGCCGUUGUAUCCCGGAGCAGGAGGGGCGAUGCCAUUUUAGCCACCAAGAAUGGAUGUUCAGAGAGGGGCCGUUUUCCUCCAGAGCUGCGCAGCGGCAAGUGCGCGUCAGGGUCAACAUCAAAAUCCUGGUUUCUCAACUUCUAGCCCAGUGUUUUUUAAGAUUCUCUGUAUUUAUUUAUUUAUUUUUUUUGGAUUGGCUUAAAAUACCAUCAGUCCAGAAGCGGACUCACAUUUGGUCACUUGACAUCCUGCAUGUAUUUGGUCGUCCGGUUUACCAGAAAGACAUCAUUGUCUUUCGGUGGGGGGGGAGGGGGGAGAUGGCCUUUACUUGGUCAGUUGGAUACUCCUGUGAACACAAAUGAGACUUGACCCUUCCUUCCCAACACAUACCUGAGUUACUAAUUCAAGGCAGAUGAGAGACCUCCGGGAGAAAGGAAAAAACAAUAGAGCAUCGACAAGGAAACACAGGAGAGGAUCCUCAGAACUUUGAGCUUGCCCGAGUUCGAGCCACUUGUCUGGGGGAGCCCUUCCUCGGCCCUCCUUCUUCGUCUUCCUGAACACCAUCACUGACAUCUCAUUUCCUGAAAAUGGCAGGUCUGUGGCCUGCCUCGACCCUGCUUCGAGAUUCAGUGCGAACCUUCCUGUGCGGAGCCGCCCGGGCUCCUUUCAGUGGAGGCCGACGUGAUGGACCCGAAUCCAGACACCGGCCGUGCAGGUGGCACCGGAGGUGACGUGGUGAAUUUUAGCGACGAGGUGCACGGGAGCCUUUCAGUGACCUGAGCACCUGCUGCCCUCUCCCGUUUCACCGCGCUUCCUGAAGCCCCUUGUCACCUUGCUGCGGUCGCAGACCUUUGAUUCCCGCCCUGGCUUUUUCCCAGUUCCCAGUUUCUCCUUCCUUUCAUUGCGAAAAGCCUCCCACCGACUCUGAUAGAUCUGGCUUUAUGUUGUCACAAUAAGCCUUGGGUUGAAAUGGCUAUGUAAUCCCAACAUUUGGAAACUUUGAUUCCUUUCUUUGAUAACAUGAGGUCUUAUCCAAGGACACCUCUGGCGGGAGGCACGCCAUGGUCUUCAUCAUCCGUCCGUGCCUUCCCAGUGACGGGAUUACAGGUGGCAUCUACCCGUCCUGUGGAGGUGGGCUCUUCUUGUCCUGUGGUCGUCCCAUGGGAAUCCACUGUUUCUCUCCACCUGUCUGCCGUCUCCCUUCUCCCCUGUAACGCCAGGCUCACGGGAAGGCCUCUGGCCAUGACAUAGGACUGCAGAGUAAAGGACCCCUCGGAAACCAACCAUUCCCGUGCCUCAUUUUAUAGACGGACAAAGAGCUUUGUGGCUAAAGGCCCUGGAACGAAAGGGCUGUAGGGCUGGGCUUAUAAAGCCGUCGAAACUCC